rnacentral:misc_RNA from 1 species
AGCUGCAUAUGUUUGGC